rnacentral:rRNA from 1 species
GACGAACGCUGGCGGCGUGCUUAACACAUGCAAGUCGAACGGAAAGGCCCUGCUUUUGUGGGGUGCUCGAGUGGCGAACGGGUGAGUAACACGUGAGUAACCUGCCCUUGACUUUGGGAUAACUUCAGGAAACUGGGGCUAAUACCGGAUAGGAGCUCCUGCUGCAUGGUGGGGGUUGGAAAGUUUCGGCGGUUGGGGCUGGACUCGCGGCUUAUCAGCUUGUUGGUGGGGUAGUGGCUUACCAAGGCUUUGACGGGUAGCCGGCCUGAGAGGGUGACCGGCCACAUUGGGACUGAGAGACGGCCCAGACUGCAACGGGAGGCAGCAGUGGGGAAUAUUGCACAAUGGGCGGAAGCCUGAUGCAGCAACGCCGCGUGCGGGAUGACGGCCUUCGGGUUAUAAACCGCUUUCGCCUGUGACGAAGCGUGAGUGACGGUAAUGGGUAAAGAAGCACCGGCUAACUACGUG